rnacentral:rRNA from 1 species
UACAGGGGGGGCAAGCGUUGUUCGGAAUUACUGGGCGUAAAGGGUUCGUAGGUGGCCGACUAAGUCAGACGUGAAAUCCCUCAGCUUAACUGGGGAACUGCGUCUGAUACUGGUUGGCUUGAGGACAGGAGAGGAACGCGGAAUUCCAGGUGUAGCGGUGAAAUGCGUAGAUAUCUGGAGGAACACCGGUGGCGAAGGCGGCGUUCUGGACUGUUUCUGACACUGAGGAACGAAAGCCAGGGGAGCAAACGGG